GUGAGGAAUAUUGCGCAAUGGAGGCAACUCUGACGCAGCCAUGCCGCGUGCAGGAAGAAGGCGCUACGCGUUGUAAACUGCUUUUAACCGGGAAGAAACCCCAGGACGUGUCCUGGGUUGACGGUACCGGAGGAAUAAGCACCGGCUAACUUCGUGCCAGCAGCCGCGGUAAUACGAAGGGUGCAAGCGUUAUCCGGAUUCAUUGGGUUUAAAGGGUGCGUAGGCGGAGCGUUAAGUCAGUGGUGACAUCCUGCAGCUUAACUGUAGACUUGCCAUUGAUACUGGCGCUCUGUAGUGCGCUUGAAGUGGGCGGAAUGUGCCGUGUAGCGGUGAAAUGCUUAGAUAUGGCACAGAACACCAAUUGCGAAAGCAGCUCACUAAGGCGAUACUGACGCUGAGGCACGAAAGCGUGGGGAUCGAACAGGAUUAGAAACCCCAGUAGUCC
rnacentral:rRNA from 1 species